rnacentral:rRNA from 1 species
UACGAAGGGGGCUAGCGUUGCUCGGAAUCACUGGGCGUAAAGGGUGCGUAGGCGGGUCUUUAAGUCAGGGGUGAAAUCCUGGAGCUCAACUCCAGAACUGCCUUUGAUACUGAGGAUCUUGAGUUCGGGAGAGGUGAGUGGAACUGCGAGUGUAGAGGUGAAAUUCGUAGAUAUUCGCAAGAACACCAGUGGCGAAGGCGGCUCACUGGCCCGGUACUGACACUGAGGUGCGAAAGCGUGGGGAGCAAACAGG